GGCAGCCUAUAGUCUAGUGGCUAUGGUACAUGACCAGGACCCAUGAGGUUGGUGGUUCAAGAACACCAUUGCUGUCA